CUCGGAAUCACUGGGCGUAAAGGGCGCGUAGGCGGCGUUUUAAGUCGGGGGUGAAAGCCUGUGGCUCAACCACAGAAUGGCCUUCGAUACUGGGACGCUUGAGUAUGGUAGAGGUUGGUGGAACUGCGAGUGUAGAGGUGAAAUUCGUAGAUAUUCGCAAGAACACCAGUGGCGAAGGCGGCUUACUGGCUCGUAACUGACGCUGA
rnacentral:rRNA from 1 species